rnacentral:rRNA from 1 species
GUGUCAGCCGCCGCGGUAAUACGUAGGGAGCAAGCGUUAUCCGGAUUUACUGGGUGUAAAGGGCGCGUAGGCGGGACUGCAAGUCAGAUGUGAAAUCUGAGGGCUCAACCCUCAAACUGCAUUUGAAACUGUGGUUCUUGAGUGAUGGAGAGGCAAGUGGAAUUCCUAGUGUAGCGGUGAAAUGCGUAGAUAUUAGGAGGAACCCCAGUGGCGAAGGCGACUUGCUGGACAUUAACUGA